CGCCCGCCGCGCCCCGCGCCCGUCCCGCCGCCCCCGCCCGACGGGGUGCAGCAGGCGCGAAAACUUGGCAAUGCGAGAAAUCGUGACCAGGGAACUCCAAGUGGGUAGGGUAAGACCCNNNCUUUUCUUGACUCUUCAAAGGUCUUGGAAUAAGGGGUGGGUAAGGACGGUGCCAGCCGCCGCGGUAAUACCGGCGCCUCAAGUGGUAGUCGAUUUUAUUGGGCCUAAAACGUCCGUAGCCGGUUUGGUACAUUCGUGGGUAAAUCAACCAGCUCAACGGGUUGAAUUCUGCGAGCACGGCCAGACUUGGGACCGGGAGAGGUGUGGGGUACUCUCAGGGUAGGGGUAAAAUCCUGUCAUCCUGAGAGGACCACCUGUUGCGAAGGCGCCACACUAGAACGGAUCCGACGGUCAGGGACGAAACCUAGGGGCACGAACCGGAUUAGAUACCCGGGUAGUCCUAGGUGUAAACGCUGUGGACUUGAUGUUGGGNNNNNUCCGANNNNNNUCAGUGUCGAAGCGAAGGUGAUAANGNU
rnacentral:rRNA from 1 species